GUUUUGUUUACCAGGGACCAGCUCUGUCCCAUAUUGCCAUUAAGUGGCUCCAUCCUCCAGUACCCUCAAGGCACAGAAAUGGUGAGAAGCAGACAAGGGACAUCUCCUUUUGUAAGAGGCGUUAUAUACGAUACAUAACUACAUUUUCAAACUGCUUUUAUUAUUAUUACUCUUUUUAACAUGCUCUCUUUCUCUCCAGCAUCUCCUUCUACCAGGUCAAAACAAAAGUUGAGGGGAACAAAAAGACUGACAACAAAGAAUUAUUCUGGGACUUCUGAGAGAAGCUAGGAUAUUUAUGGAUUUAUUAUAUUCCCUGGGAUAACAAGUUUCUGAGAUCUGCUUUGAAACUCGGUGAUCUGAUGAGAUGAAGGUCACUGAAAUUUCCUUCCUUUUCCCUCUGCUUUGGAAAUGACUUCUGUCUUAAGGCCCUGGAGGGUGAAGCUCUUCUAACUCAAGACAAAGGUUCUUCACAUGAGAGAUUAAUCCGUUUCCCCGUAAUUAAAUAAACAACACUCUCUACGUGGCUAUAUAGAAUAAACUAAAAUGAAGAAAGAACAUGUUGUGGAAAAUAUGGAGAAGUACAACUAGAGAAGUGCAACGUACUUCAGCAGAAUCCAGGUUGCAUCAUGUUGUGCUCCACUACAUCAUGUUAGUAUAUAUGGCGGAGAAGGCAAAAUGCAGUAACAGGAUGUGACAGACAACACUUAGCAAAAAUAUUCACUUAUUUGACUCAGAUACUUGCUAUCAGUUUGAAUUGGGAUACAUGGUACCAAGCAAAGCUGACAGAUAGAAGCAAACUCAGCAAGGAACUCACCCCACGUAGAUCCAAAAGCUUCUUGUCUCAUACCCAGUACUCGCUCUCCUAGUGGUCACUGCUCUCCCUCAGCUCUCCUCCUCACCAUUCCUUUCCUUGAUGCAUUAGCAUCUCCAAGGAGUCUUCUGGGCAGUGACAAUAGUGGGAUGCAGACCCAAGCUGGCCUGGAUUUACACCCUUGGUCCCCUGGAGAAAUCAUUGGGUGGUUGUUUAAAGCUGGUACAGCAUUGAAUACAGCAGAGGAGCCUUGACCUUUAUUUGUAAGCAUGGAAAUAAGGACUCAAUCCAUUCUUCUUCGAAAUCCUGCAGGUAACCAGCUCCCCCCUAGGGUAAUCUCUCAUACUUCAGUAGGCACAUUUCUGCCUGUAGCCAGCAGCACUGAAGCACAUCUUACUCUCAACUGAUGGACUAAUCUGACUCUCUGAGCUACCUUGCCUUGCUCUGAAAACUGAGAUUGCAUGGGAAGAGUUUCUACCAUCUCCUGUACUUAACCAUGAUUCUCC
ensembl:lncRNA